rnacentral:rRNA from 1 species
UACGAAGGGGGCUAGCGUUGCUCGGAAUCACUGGGCGUAAAGCGCACGUAGGCGGGUUCUUAAGUCAGGGGUGAAAUCCUGGAGCUCAACUCCAGAACUGCCUUUGAUACUGGGAAUCUUGAGUCCGGGAGAGGUGAGUGGAACUGCGAGUGUAGAGGUGAAAUUCGUAGAUAUUCGCAAGAACACCAGUGGCGAAGGCGGCUCACUGGCCCGGUACUGACGCUGAGGUGCGAAAGCGUGGGGAGCAAACAGGG